GGAGUGUAGUUCAGUGGUAGAAUACUUGCCUAGCAUAUAUGAGGCACUGGGUUCAAUUCCCAGUACUGCCC
rnacentral:tRNA from 1 species